rnacentral:lncRNA from 1 species
AAAAAAAAAUCUUGCACAAAUUUGCAAGGUAAUUAACUAAUAUUACAUAUAUCAUUUUUCAUCAAUCCAUUGACUCUAAAUAUGAAACUCGCCAAAGGUUUUCCACUUUGCAAACUUUUUUCUAAAAAAUUGUUAACCUAUAAAAACAUUAUCUAAUCAUGCUAUUAAAUCCAAAGAAGCAUUUGGAUUUGGAGAGUAGAAGACCUUUUGAUGAACUCUUGCCGUCACAUAUCUUUCUUUUUUCGCCUACUUGAAGAACUCAGCAGAACCUCCACCUCGAU